GNAANNNGANGUNGGGGGNNNGGGNGGAAGNCCANGUUGCCNGACAAAAAACGUACCCCCGGCGCGGUCUGCGCCAAGGAAUCGAAAUGAAGCAACGUGAGCAGUCCGCCCCGUUCGCGGGAAGUGGACGGCAACACGGUCUUCCAAUGUAUACUAAACGACUCUCGGCAACGGAUAUCUCGGCUCUCGCAUCGAUGAAGAACGUAGCGAAAUGCGAUACUUGGUGUGAAUUGCAGAAUCCCGUGAACCAUCGAGUUUUUGAACGCAAGUUGCGCCCGAAGCCAUUAGGCCGAGGGCACGCCUGCCUGGGCGUCACGCGCUCCGUCGCCCCGCAACCCCGAACCCCGAAACGGGCCAGGGUACUUGUGGUGCGGAGAUUGGUCUCCCGUGUGCCUUGCUCGCGGCUGGCCUAAAAUUGAGUCCCGGGCGCUCUGUUCUGCGGCCGACGGUGGUUGAGAAGCCCUCGAAAUUGUGCUGCUGCAGUGCUGCCCGAUGCGGACCCUGUGACCCUUGCGCGACCUCUCCCCUUGGGGUGAGGGAGCUCCAUCUGA
rnacentral:sRNA from 1 species